ACUUUCAUUUUCGGUGAAAAACCGCCAAAGACGAUGGCUUGCCAAUUUCCAAAUGAAUUGAUGGAGACCAUUUUUAUACAAAUGAAUGCUGAAAAUUUGAUGCAAUCAAGGAAGGUUUGUCAUCGCUGGAAUGAAAUCAUAUCAAAGUUGGAAAGAAAUGGAAGUUUAUGGUUAGACUUUUGUCUUGAGGAAAUUCCAUUACAUUCACUGACUGAUAUUACAAAGAUGCAGGAACUGCAUGUAGCUCAAAAAGGGAAUAUAUUUUAUCACCUGCUAUCAAAGUUAGGUUGGAUUUUCUGGAAGGAAAUUUUCAAGGAGUAUGUAAGAGCAAGGCGUGUGAAAAAUGAACUGUAUGCCAUCACUACAAUUAAAUAUAAUCCAGACAAUGGGCAGGUCACUUCUUUGGCCUUAAAUGAUUUGCUUUUAUAUAGUGGUUUUGAAAAUGGGGAUGUCUUUAUAUGGAAGAAUAUUGAUUCUGGUCAGAGGGGAACCAAAGUUGUAGAGUCUGUCCAUUGUCCAGUGCAGGCCAUAUUCUGUGAUCCAGAGGGAACUACAAGCUCCAAAGUUCUGAAAGGGGAAGUCAGGAAUACAGAGUCAUUGAUUGUAGUGUACAGAGACUUGGUCAAGUUUGUCAGAUAUACAUCAGAAUCAGAUAACAAGAGGUCUGAGUGGCUAUUGGAAGUGCCAAGGAAACCUUGUGAAAAUGCGUUUGAAUUUUGCCCAGUAAUUCCUAGUGAUGACAAGGUCUGGUUUGAAUGGUACACUGGUAACCAGUUUCAUUUUGUAACAUCAGAGAAAGAAACUGUGCACGUCAGUUCAUCUAUGGACAGAAUAACUGCUUCAGACUCCAGCAGUGGAAUGAUAGUGUUGGGGAUGAGGACAGGAGACAUUGUGUACUGUGACAAUCUAGAGACUCAUGGGAAUUUGUCAGCCAUUGGUCACACCAGUGACAUGGAGUACAAGGUAUUGUACAUGUGUACCAUGUUCCACAGGAGAGGGAUCUACAGAAUCUAGAUUUGAGGAAGAACAUAGCAAUAUCUCUAGACUGUGAGCAUAUAAAUGCCAUCGCAAUAGGGGAUGAUGGGAGUAGACCUGUUAUUGCCGUGGCAACAGAUGUAGUAGGGGUCAUCCAUGUUAUCCGUUGGUGAUAUUCAAGAAGAUAUCAGCGAUUUUUUGUCAUUAAUAUUUACAUGUGUCACAAAUUGACAGUUUACCUAGUCCAUUGUUUUAUUUGAAUUAUGAAAGUGAUUUGUUUUUUUCAUAACACACAGUUUAAAGUAAUUGUUUUUGAUAUGUGUAUUAUUUGUUUAUAUGCUAUAAGAAUGUGAGGUAGUCAUAAAUGUUUGUACACAAAU
rnacentral:misc_RNA from 1 species